CCUCACGCUGUGUGAGGACCCCCAACGUCGCUCAUUUCCCCAUAGGAAAGCAUUGAAAUGCAUUGAAAUGCUUUCCUAUGGGGAGCCCUACCGGCCGGUGGGUGGGAUCAGUCUUGCCCAUCUGCCGACGCAAUCAGAGGGAGGAGCGCGCGGAGGAAGAAGCAGCGACGUGGGACAUAGUCGCUGCCUCAUGUAAGUCACUGAAGGGGUUUUCACCCCUACAACAACCAGG